GAUGAACGCUAGCUACAGGCUUAACACAUGCAAGUCGAGGGACCGGCGCACGGGUGAGUAACACGUAUCCAACCUGCCCUUUACUCGGGGAUAGCCUUUCGAAAGAAAGAUUAAUACCCGAUAUAAAGUAUGGGGAUGCGUUCCAUUAGGUUGUUGGUGAGUUAACGGCUCACCAAGCCUUCGAUGGAUAGGGGUUCUGAGAGGAAGGUCCCGCAACUUGGAACUGGGACACGGUCCAAACGACUACGGGAGGCAGCAGUGAGGAAUAUUGGUCAAUGGGCGCUAGCCUGAACCAGCCAAGUAGCGGGAAGGAUGAAGGCUUAUGGGUCGUAAACUUCUUUUAUAUAAGAAUAUGUAUUAUAUGAAUAAGGAUCGGCUAACUCCGUGCCAGCAGCCGCGGUAAUUC
rnacentral:rRNA from 1 species